AAUAAGUGUUUUACUGCACUUUUUAAAAAUAGUACUCACCUUGUGUGCAAUGUUGUAUUUCUUUUCGGAGAAACACCUGCACCAACCUAUAACCCUGAACCACUUUGUCUGAAAAACUAUUAUGAAUACUUAAUUCGAAAUACAACUUCCAACAACGGAUCUCUUGGUUCU
rnacentral:misc_RNA from 1 species